GUCCCUGUAGUGAAACGGAUAUCACCACUGCCUUCGAAGCAGUUAUUGGAAGUUCGAAUCUUCCCAGGGACA
rnacentral:tRNA from 1 species